CACACACACACACACAAGCAAACACACUGACACACCCGCUCACUUCAAACAGAUUUGAAUAUUGAUUUAGAUUUAUAAACAGAGACAGACCGUGGGUUUUAUGAAUCGUCAGUCGCCUCUGUAGCAGUCUUUUUAGAGUAGCAUAGCAUAUGUCAAAAGUGCAGUAUUGAACAUGGACUAAUCAAACAUUUAUGUAGGCUAAUUUCUUUUUACAGACUGAUUAAUGGAAAUUAUCGUGGAUCACGCUCUCUGACAUUUUAACGCCUAACGUCUGUCACGGACUCAACUUGUUUUCUUUUUGGUUGGAGCAAAGUUUCCCAACAUGAUCAAAUUUAUGACCGGGCUUUCUUAGCAGCUCUCUGUCCUUGCGAGAUGGAGGAAUGGCAUGUUAAGGGACUUUCUAUCUUAAAAGGAGGACGACGUUUAAAGGGAAACCGAGUUAACGCUUCUGGCAAUCAGCGCUCCAACUGACUCCGGGCUAAUUGACGACGACGACGUCUUUUAUCUGUGCCUCUGAGCCUCUGCAACAAACACAUGGAAUCAAUUUAAUAGACUCUCCUUCAGACCAUCUAAAUGAGGGAGCAAAGUCAAGACCCGUGGAAAUCCAACAAGGACAAAUUAUACAGGAUAAAAAAUAAAACUCAAGGGUGAGGUGAGUGUUAGAGGGAUUGAUGAGAUCUCAGGCCUUGGGAGAGAGAGCCAGUUAAGUGGUGGUUUUUCCAUGUUAACCUCCUGUGCAGGUCUGUUUUGUUUGUCAGACCUGAAUAUGGAUGGGGGUCAGCUACCAGGCUCCCUGAGGUAUUCUGUCAGGCCUCCUGACAGCAGUGGAGCAUUUAAACCCCCAGUGGAUUAUACCUCCCUGUGAGAAAGGUGAGCACACACUCACACACACACACACACACACACACACACACACACAAACACUCACUGACACACUUCUUAUCUUUAUACUUUGUGGUCUGAAAUACAAUAACAGUAAACUAUUUCCUUGUUGGUUUUCCUUCUCUACCCUUUCUGAAUAUAUUGUCUUUUAGGAGAGUGAAAGAGAAAAGUGCUCCUGUGUGAGUCAGUCUGUGUUUGUGCCUUUUCCAAACCCCACUUUCCUUUGACUGACACUUUGGCGAUGCCCACAGCUCCCUGCUUCGACUUCUCAAGUGUACCCCCUGUUAGUGCCGACGCUGCCAAUUCCUCUCAUGUCUUUAAUAUCUCUCUUUGGGCCUUCGCGUUUUGCCAGUCAAGGCUCCCCCAUGACAGUUGGACGUUGCUGCCGUCACAUUUUGGAGACAGUGCUGGGUGGGUGUUUGUUGCGUUCCCAGCCCCUAGCCUGGAGGGUUUUUUUGGGACGGCUGGCCCGUCAGUCAGCCACUCCCCUGUAAUUAGAUGAGCAAACACGGAGGCGGCCUGGCCUGAGAGGGCGGGGAGGGGGGUGAGCUGCACCGCCAGUUCACACUUUGAACAGGGAUGUUUUCUGUAAAGCUCGUCUUCCCUACGUAAGGAAGGUUUAGCUAUAACAUUGUGUAAGAUCUAGAAAAUGCUGUCACUAGCUCAUUUACAAAUGCCAUAAAUCUAGAUUUGUUUUGUGUGGCUGAAAUGGGGUACAGUUUUAAGAGAAAUUUAGAGAAUACCAUUUUCGGAAUUUCUUAGUUGAAUAUGUUAUUUUCUGUAUUUCAUAUAAAUGUUGAAUAAAAAACAACUGUCCUGCAUAGUGUUUGAAUCUCUAAAUGAAUCAGCUAAAUACGAUUAGUCCUAUGUUUGUCCCAUAUUUGUUUUGUGCAAUUACGAUAUCAAGCUGAACUGAAUGUUGAAACAUUUAUUUUGCCAUUUUGGAAUCACUGAACACUGAAGAUGUUUCUGAAUACUUAAAAAACCUUUUAUAGAUGACACCAUGGUUAAGGAUCAUCAAAAUAUUGUGAAUAAAUAUAAGUGAGAAGGUUACAGACCCUCCCCUUAAGAUUCAGUCUGGGAGUUUUGCGAUUAACAAAAAGCAUGUAAUAUGUUGUUUAUAUGUGUGUAAUUUGUAGAAGAAUUCCUACCAUGCCUCAGUUAGCUUUUACAUUCCAAGUUUGAAAUGAUCUUGAUGACAUGGGGCACAAAUCAGCAAGUACAUGACAAUAGUAGAAAAUGUUCACGGACAAUUCUUGGCUCGACAGUGGCAAUUUGACAACCUGUUGCCAGAAAUCGUGCACUUUAUCUUUCGAAAAUGUUACUUUAAUCUUUAAUCUGGCUGGUUAAUGUAGAGGUCUACACCCUUUUCAAAAAUACAUUGGAUGUUGAGUCAAUUUGAUCAAUUAAGAAUGGACAAUUAAUUUUGUAUUAUUUGUUUAAUCAGGUUCACCAUAUCUAUUUUUGAAAGUCUCAGUGGCAAAACAUCUGACCAGUAACUAGAUACUUUAAUUCACAGCCUUUCUGACCAGUAACUAGAUACUUUAACUCGCAGCCUAUCUGACCAGUAACCAGAUUGCCUGUGGGUUAGAGUAUUUAAUCAGUAACCACACUGGCUAGUGAUUAGAACAUCUGGCCAGUAACCAGACCAGUAACCAGAUAGCCUAUUAGUUGAAAUCUCAAGCCAGGAAACAUUUGUAAUUUUGUACUUAAGCAAGGUUGAUAAUCAUAAUUGCUCCUGUCACUAUGUCUGAAAAUGUUGGUUAUGUUUAGAAGUGUUUUCACACCAAUGUACUGGUCCAAAAAUGUUUAUUCUAUCUUCUGGAGAGGACUAGAGUGUUUUUGACAAGCCUGUCUCUGGACAAAAUUAUUAGAAUUUUCUCCCCCCAUGGGCAACUCAUUUUGUUUCACUGUAUGUGUAGUAUAAAUACUCUUCCACUGUUUCAAUGUUUUGCAAACAAUUACUUGAGGAUAUUUCAAUAUAUAUGCCGGCAAGCAUUAAUAAAGCAUUAAUAAAGUGUUAAUAAUGAAU